AGCUCCAAUAGCGUAUAUUAAAGUUGUUGCAGUUAAAAAGCUCGUAGUUGGACUUUAGGCGAGCUGCGCCGGCUCCGUAACAGGUUCUGGCGCGGCGAGCCUCACCUUUGGGAAACCAGUGCUCUGCGCUGGGGAACCAAGCCUUACUUUGAGAAAAUUAGAGUGUUUAAAGCAGGCUUACGCUUGAAUACUUCAGCAUGGAAUAACAAGAUAGGACUUUGGUUCUAUAUUGUUGGUUUGAGAACCAAAGUAAUGAUUAAUAGGGACAGUUGGGGGCAUUAGUAUUUAGUAGUCAGAGGUGAAAUUCUUGGAUUUACUAAAGACUAACUAAUGCGAAAGCAUUUGCCAAGGAUGUUUUCA
rnacentral:rRNA from 1 species